GAUGAACGCUGGCGGCGUGCCUAAUACAUGCAAGUCGAGCGAACGGACGAGAAGCUUGCUUCUCUGAUGUUAGCGGCGGACGGGUGAGUAACACGUGGAUAACCUACCUAUAAGACUGGGAUAACUUCGGGAAACCGGAGCUAAUACCGUAUAAUAUUUUGAACCGCAUGGUUCAAAAGUGAAAGACGGUCUUGCUGUCACUUAUAGAUGGAUCCGCGCUGCAUUAGCUAGUUGGUAAGGUAACGGCUUACCAAGGCAACGAUGCAUAGCCGACCUGAGAGGGUGAUCGGCAAACUUGGAACUAGGACACGGCCCAAACUCCAACGGGAGGAAGAGGUGGGAAAUCUUGCGCAAUGGGCGAAGGCCGGACGGGGCAACGCGGCGGGAGUGAUGAAGGUUUUCGGUUGGUAAAACUCUGUGUAUGGAAAAAAAAAGAUGUGUAAAUAACUGUGGGCAUCUUGAGGUUACCUAAGCAGAAAGCCAGGGCAAACUACGU
rnacentral:rRNA from 1 species